UACGUAGGAGGCAAGCGUUGUCCGGAAUUACUGGGCGUAAAGCGCGUGUAGGUGGUGGGACAAGUCUGCUGUGAAAGCGCCUGGCUUAACCGGGCGAGGUCGGCGGAAACUGUUCGACUCGAGGACGGUAGAGGGGGGUGGAAUUCCCGGUGUAGUGGUGAAAUGCGUAGAGAUCGGGAGGAACACCUGUGGCGAAGGCGACUUCCUGGCCUGUUCUUGACGCUGAGGCGCGAAAGCUAGGGUAGCAAACGGG
rnacentral:rRNA from 1 species